UUCGCGGCUUGUCAUACAUUC
ensembl:piRNA 21ur-1249 ncRNA